rnacentral:tRNA from 1 species
CGGGGAAUUAGCUCAGCUGGGAGAGCGCCUGGUUUGCAACCAGGAGGUCACCGGUUCGAGCCCGGUAUUCUCCA